UACAGAGGUCUCAAGCGUUGUUCGGAUUCAUUGGGCGUAAAGGGUGCGUAGGCGGCGCGGUAAGUCGGGUGUGAAAUCUCGGGGCUUAACUCCGAAACUGCAUUCGAUACUGCCGUGCUUGAGGACUGGAGAGGAGACUGGAAUUUACGGUGUAGCGGUGAAAUGCGUAGAUAUCGUAAGGAAGACCAGUGGCGAAGGCGGGGUCUCUGGGACAGUUCCUGACGGCUGGGGCACGAAGGCCAGGGGAGCAAACGGG
rnacentral:rRNA from 1 species